rnacentral:lncRNA from 1 species
GUGGGUUAAGAGCUCUCCUCUUAUUUCAAGGAAGGGGUUCUUUUAGGUUAUCUCAGAAUUUUUUCAGAAGCUGCUCUUGUUGUCUUAGGCAGCACAGGCUUUUAAAAACACCAUGAAGAAAGUAGUAUUGAGUGCAGGGAGUAUUUAAGUUUGUGAUUUUGGGGUGGUAAGGUGCUUUUUGUAACUUCCUUUUUUUUGUUCUUGAUUUUCUUCAGGGUACUGCAACUCCUUGAAAUUCCAGACUGGGACAAGUAUGAAACUUCAGAGCUUUCAGCAGAUUCAUUGUACCACAAAAGGAACCUGCCCUGUGUUAGAGGUGGCAUCUGAGAUGGAGGCUUCCCAUAGGUGUACCUUGUAAUGACAACUGCAGCCUUUGCCUUAGGACAAAGAUACACACUGAGGACCUGGGCACAUUUAGGGGAUGCUGACUGAGAAGCUAACCAGUGAUCACAGGGUAUUCUGAGACAGCCAAGGUGGACUCAUUUUCCAUGCAGUGUGGAUUUACAUUGCUGCUUAUCCAAAAGCUAAGUUGGGGGUGGUCUGCAGCAUGGAAACUGCUAGUCCAGCAUGACAGAGAUCCUUGUGAGACGCUACCACGGUCAAGUGGUUUCAGAUGGAAACUACUACAGCAAAGCGAUGCCUUUGGACCCUGUGUUGGAAGUGAAG